GGAGCGCAGGCUUCUCGUGCAGCAUGGCGGGCGGCGGAGGCCCGGGCCUGUGGAACCCGGCCUGUCCUCGGGCUCUUCCAGGUGCGAACCCCGCGGUCUGUCCACCCCGUCGGUGCGGAGCGGGGCGCCCAGCUGACGGCGCCGGUCCCUUACUGGGUACGGUGGGCCACAUGGCCUGGUCUGCGUGGCCGCUCGCAUUCGCGUUCCCGCGCGCUCGGUCUUUAAAAUAACCUGCAGAUCCUGAACUGCUCGAGCUCGGGGGACAACAGCCCUUGGCGGCCCUUAGUUAAAGGCCUGCGCCUCAGGACGCAUCGAAGUGCGGGAAGGAGCGGCCGCUCCUGGCGGCAGCUUUCUCUGGGCCUGCACUGUGUCCACCAGAAGAAAGUGCAACAAAACCUGCCUCUUGAACGUGCUUGAACAAAUGUUUUCCAGAAACUUGUCACAGAACGCGAUUUAAAUAAGCCACCAGGACGACAGUUGCCAGUAACAAGCAUGUAGGUAGCUGCAGGUGAAAGUCACCUCAGGAGCUGUGAUGUUUACAAACACUUCAUUGUUUCGGUGCAGCACACAUUGUGGAUGGUGAAAUGAAGAAUUGGUCAAGAAUCCGUGAACAGGAGCAAAUGAUGAAUUAGUGUUUUAUAGUAAUCAACAAUAAAUUAUGUAGAAAUAAGUA